GAUGAACGCUGGCGGCGUGCCUAAUACAUGCAAGUCGAGCGAACAGACGAGGAGCUUGCUCCUCUGACGUUAGCGGCGGACGGGUGAGUAACACGUGGAUAACCUACCUAUAAGACUGGGAUAACUUCGGGAAACCGGAGCUAAUACCGGAUAAUAUAUUGAACCGCAUGGUUCAAUAGUGAAAGACGGUUUUGCUGUCACUUAUAGAUGGAUCCGCGCCGCAUUAGCUAGUUGGUAAGGUAACGGCUUACCAAGGCGACGAUGCGUAGCCGACCUGAGAGGGUGAUCGGCCACACUGGAACUGGGACACGGUCCAGACUCCUACGGGAGGCAGCAGUAGGGAAUCGUCCGCAAUGGGCGAAAGCCUUACGGAGCAACGCCGCGUGAGUGAUGAAGGUCUUCGGAUCGUAAAACUCUGUUAUUAGGGAAGAACAAAUGUGUAAGUAACUAUGCACGUCUUGACGGUACCUAAUCAGAAAGCCACGGCUAACUACGUG
rnacentral:rRNA from 1 species